CUGGUGUCCGUUUGUCAUCCCGCCGACUCC
rnacentral:piRNA from 1 species